rnacentral:tRNA from 1 species
GGAGCCGUGGUGUAGUCAGGUUAACACGCCGGCCUGUCAAGCCGGAGAUCGCGGGUUCAAAUCCCGUCGGUUCCGCCA